UGUAAAUUAGUUUGGGGAUUGUUUUCAUUCUCUUUGCACCUCUGUGUCCCACACUACCCUUGGCAAAUGGCAGCCUGGAACUUACACUGCACCCACCAGCCUCAGUUCCCUGGAGCAGUGGAGUUGAUGGUGCCUCCAGGUUUAUACCAUAAUUGACAUAGAAACUCACUGUCUCCACUGGGAGAUAUGACUUUCUAGACUUCAUCAGGUUCUAAUUUUUACUUGCCAAAGGAGGGAGGGAGGAAAUUUAGUCUCGGAGAGGAUGGCUGUCCAGCAAAGACAGCUGCUGCUGGCUACCUUUGUCUUGGAACACUUGACCUGCUGACAUGGCAGGGUGGUUGUUUGUCAACUGGAUCUCUUCUUGAGGAGUUUAUUUACAAACUGCAAAAAUUCCAUGUAGUCUUCACUUAAUUUGGUGGAUAGGAUCCAAACCAUUGUAAAGCUAAUCCAGAGGAAUGUACAGUUCUGCCCUUUUGGGUUUAUAACCAUUUUUGCUUUGGCAGGAUCUAACAUGAGCUAUCAUGGCCAUUUCCAGAUGUGAAGUCCACCAUGUUUAGACAAUCCAGUUGUCCUCCCUGCAGUGGGGCAUGGGUGGAGUAGAGUCCUCAGUCUUCAUUUAACCACAGCUCUCAAAGUGUGGUCCCUGGACCAGCAGCUUCAGUGGCACCUGGGUACUUAUUAGAAGUGCAGACUUUUGAACCCACUCCCUCCCCUCCCAAUCUAUUAAUCCUGAAACUCUGGGGGUGGGACCCAGCACUCUGUUGUAAGAAGCUCUCCAGUAACUUAUCCAUGCUUAAGUCUGAGAACUGCUUCCUUAUCUAGUAGUCAACCUGGAUAGAUACCUUAACACAUUGUAGUCCUGCUUGUACUUUUACUUUUCUUUUUUUUAACCCCCAAGGUUUUAUCUGUAUUCAGCCCUCUAUUCUCCACGUGUACCUUUUGAAUCAAGUCCGUAUUCCUGGCCAAGGUCAGAUGUGCUGCCUUUGUGAGGCCUUGACUGACCCCCUUCCUCCAGCAAGUUUGCUUGAGCUCUUGAAUUUUCUCUCUCUGACCUCUGUUGCAUGUGGUCCCCACAUUAGUAGCACUGGGCUCUUGUUAGAAACAUAAAAUCCUGGCCCUGUGCCAGCUCUGUAGGUAGUUUCUAUCCACUUUUAAGGUUAGGAAGCACUGAUGAAACCACUCUGAUUGUGUUAAAAUUAGUGAGUUUUUUAUGGAUUACAUUUUUAAUAAUAUUCAUUAG